CCUACGGGGGGCUGCAGUAGGGAAUUUUCCGCAAUGGGCGAAAGCCUGACGGAGCAAUACCGCGUGAGGGAUGACUGCCUAUGGGUUGUAAACCUCUUUUUUCAGGGAGGAAUAAAUGACGUGUACCUGAAGAAUAAGCAUCGGCUAACUCCGUGCCAGCAGCCGCGGUAAGACGGAGGAUGCAAGUGUUAUCCGGAAUCACUGGGCGUAAAGCGUCUGUAGGUGGCUCGACAAGUCAACUGUUAAAUCUUGAAGCUCAACUUCAAAAUCGCAGUCGAAACUAUCGGACUAGAGUAUAGUAGAGGUAAAGGGAAUUUCCAGUGGAGCGGUGAAAUGCGUAGAGAUUGGAAAGAACACCGAUGGCGAAGGCACUUUACUGGGCUAUUACUGACACUCAGAGACGAAAGCUAGGGUAGCAAAUGGGAUUAGAUACCCAAGUAGUC
rnacentral:rRNA from 1 species